AGCGAACGCUGGCGGCAGGCCUAACACAUGCAAGUCGAACGAACCUUUCGGGGUUAGUGGCGGACGGGGGAGUAACACGUGGGAACGUGCCUUUAGGGUCGGACUAACUCAGGGAAACUUGUGCUAAUACCGAAUGUGCCCUUCGGGGGGAAGAUUAAUCGCCUUUAGAGCGGCCCGCGUCUGAUUAGCUAGUUGGUUGAGGUAAUGGCUCACCAAGGCGACGAUCAGUAGCUGGUCUGAGAGGAUGAUCAGCCACAUUGGGACUGAGACACGGCCCAAACUCCUACGGGAGGCAGCAGUGGGGAAUCUUGCGCAAUGGGCGAAAGCCUGACGCAGCCAUGCCGCGUGAAUGAUGAAGGUCUUAGGAUUGUAAAAUUCUUUCACCGGGGACGAUAAUGACGGUACCCGGAGAAGAAGCCCCGGCUAACUUCGUG
rnacentral:rRNA from 1 species